GUGAGUCAUCGAAUCUUUGAACGCACAUUGCACCCCUUGGUAUUCCGAGGGGUAUGCCUGUUCGAGCGUCAUUAUGACCACUCCAGCCUAGCUGGGUAUUGGACCACGCCAGCAGCGCGGGUCUUAAAAUCAGUGGCGGUGCUUUCAGGCUCUACGCGUAGUAAUAUCUCUCGCUAUAGAGCCCUGGGGGACACUAGCCAUCAACCUCAACUUCUUAAGGUUGACCUCGGAUCAGGUAGGGAUACCCGCUGAACUUAAGCAUAUCAAUAAGCGGAGGA
rnacentral:misc_RNA from 1 species